UCCCUGGUGGCUCAGACGGUAGAGCGUCUGCCUACAGUGCAGGAAACCUGGGUUCAAUCCCUGGGUUGGGAA
rfam:TPA: Bos taurus chromosome 9, whole genome shotgun sequence.